GAGCUUGAAAAGCCAUUCGUCCCUGGUCCAUUAGUAACAAAAGAGUGAAGUAAAUACAGAGACAAAAUCAUAAGCUCUACUUUUCUGGGACAAACAAUGUGAUUAAAGUUUUCUAUCAGGCUGCAUUUGAGUGGAAGAUUUGAAAUCCCAGAAUUUGUGUUUGAAUUAUCAGUUCAAAUUGCAUCGUACCCUUAUGGUAGGAAUUUGAAAUUCACCAUCAAAUGAAUCUUCAUCAACAUUCACAAAUCUAAUCUCCAUUCAGUGAACAUACCCUGCUAAGAAAAUCAUAAGCCAUAUCUCAAAGACAGAAAAAUAUUUACCUCUUCAGAGACCUCCUUCCAUG
rnacentral:misc_RNA from 1 species